UACGUAGGGUCCGAGCGUUGUCCGGAAUUAUUGGGCGUAAAGGGCUCGUAGGCGGUCUGUUGCGUCGGGAGUGAAAACUUACAGCUUAACUGUGAGCGUGCUUUCGAUACGGGCAGACUUGAGGCAUUCAGGGGAGAACGGAAUUCCUGGUGUAGCGGUGAAAUGCGCAGAUAUCGGGAGGAACACCUGUGGCGAAAGCGGCUCUCUGGACCACAACUGACGCUGAGGCGCGAAAGCUAGGGGAGCAAACAGG
rnacentral:rRNA from 1 species